rnacentral:rRNA from 1 species
UACGUAGGUGGCGAGCGUUACUCGGAAUUACUAGGCGUAAAGCGCGUGUAGGCGGGAGCUUAAGUCCGCUGUGAAAUCUCAUGGCUUAACCAUGAGUGGCCGGCGGAUACUGGGUUUCUUGAAUUCGGUAGAGGUGACUGGAAUUCCGUGUGUAGCGGUGAAAUGCGUAGAUAUACGGAAGAACGCCAAAGGCGAAGGCAGGUCACUGGGCCGCAAUUGACGCUGAGACGCGAAAGCUAGGGGAG